GUUGCCCGUGAAGGGCGUAUGGUGGAUGCCUUGGCAGACAGUACCGAUGAAGGACGUGUGAGGCUGCGAUAAGCCUCGGGGAGCCGCCAGCAGGGCUUUGAUCCGAGGAUUUCCGAAUGGGGGAACCCGCCGGCCGUCAUGGGCCGGCACCGCCUUGGGCGGGGGGUACGCAGGGAAGUGAAACAUCUCAGUACCUGCAGGAAAGGAUACUCCGUGAGUAGUGGCGAGCGAAAGCGGAUGAGGCCAAACCGUGUGCGUGUGAUACCCGUCGGGGGUUGCGCAUGCGGUGUUGCGGGAUCGCGCGUCCGGGCCCCGACGGGCCCGGCGGGAGUGAUAAAACGGCGUUCGAGGCGAACGGGAUUGAAUUCCCGGCCGCAGAGGGUGAUGGCCCCGUAGCCGAACGUGCGUCGUCUCCCGGUCGCGUCUCCCAAGUAGCACGGGCCCCGUGGAAUCCCGUGCGAAUCUGCCCGGACCGUCGGGUAAGCCUAAGUAUAUCUGUCUGACCGAUAGCGUACUAGUACCGUGAGGGAAAGGUGAAAAGCACCCCGGGAGGGGAGUGAAACAGUUCCUGAAACCGUGCGCCUACAAUCCGUCGGAGCCUCCUUGGGGGGUGACGGCGUGCCUAUCGAAAAAUGAGUCUGCGAGUCAGUGGUGCGUGGCGAGCGUAAGCCGUGUGGUGUACGCGUAGCGAAGGCGAGUCUUAAAAGGCGUUUGAGUCGCGCGCCCUGGACCCGAAGCGGGAUGAUCUAGCCCUGGGCAGGUUGAAGCGCGGGUAAGACCGCGUGGAGGACCGAACCCACCUGGGUUUAAAACCGGGGGGAUGACCUGGGGCUAGGGGUGAAAGGCCAAUCAAAUUCCGUGAUAGCUGGUUCUCUCCGAAAUGCAUUUAGGUGCAGCGUCGGGUGAUUGCGUCCGGGGGGUAGAG
rnacentral:rRNA from 1 species